GACGAACGCUGGCGGCGUGCCUAAUACAUGCAAGUAGGACGCAGUUGCGAACGUGAGAGUAACGAGUAGGUAACUACCUAUUAGAGGGGGAUAACUAUUGGAAACGAUAGCUAAUACCGCCUACUAGUAGCAGGACCUGCGUUGUAUUAGCUAGUAGGUAGGGUGAUGGCCUACCUAGGCAACGAUACAUAGCCGACCUUAGAAGGUGAUCGGCCACACUGGGACUGGGACACGGCCCAGACUCCUAACGGAUGCAGCAGGAGGGAAUCUUCGGCAAUGGGGGGAACCCUGACCGCGCAACGCCGCGGGAGUGAAGAAGGUUUUCGGAUCGUAAAGCUCUGUUGUUAAGGAAGCGGUACUUAACCAGAAAGCGACGGCUAACUACGUGCCAGCAGCCGCGGUAAUUC
rnacentral:rRNA from 1 species